rnacentral:rRNA from 1 species
AGAGCGUCGAAUGUAUGCCGUUGGGGGUAGAGCACUGGAUGGUUGCGGGGGUCGCGAGAUCUACCAAUACUAACCAAACUCCGAAUACCAACGAGUCUAGUCCGGCAGACAGACGGCGGGUGCUAAGGUCCGUCGUCAAAAGGGAAACAGCCCUAACCUACAGCUAAGGUCCCCAAGUCAUAUCUAAGUGGGAAAGCAUGU